UCAAUCGUAUCGUAGCCAUUGAAAGCAAAAGAAGCUCAGACACUGAAAAGCCAAAAGACCAACGUUUCCUCUACAGCUUAAAAAAUCGUUUUCAAUCCAAAACUUCUUAUUCAAUUCCAAAUCAUUUACCUCACUAUUUAUCAUCACUGUAAUUCCCACUCCGGUCGUUUCAUGUUUAUAUCAACUUCCUUUAUAAAUUUAGGGUUAGAAACUCGAACCACACCCCAUCAUAAAAAAACUGCACUCAUCAAAUACAGCCCUCUAUUAGUCACCGUUCCUGCUUCUGCGCCUUACGUCACUUUAGACAAUCUGCAUCUCAGACGGUCUUCCCAACAGAUUUUUAAGCCACGCAUUUGUUUCUGAUAUUCUCUGUUUUUGUUAUCUUUCUUCUCGUUUUGCAGCUGUAGAGUUAAUGAUCGCAAUCUGAGUUUAUGUUCUUUUAAUCUAAUUUUUUUGAUGUAUUAUGUCAAAUAUGUUUGUCUAGGUAAUGAAUUUAAAUUUAGUUUGAGCAAAAUCUUACUCAAUUCGAAAUGAGAAAGUCGUAGGAUUUUUCCACAUGUCAUGUGAUUCCCUUUGUAUAGGCCAUAGGGUAGUGGUGAUCUUUCAAUAGUGCAAGAAACUCUGCUGUAUAUGAAGAACUCAUGGAUGGAAAACUGAGGUAUGAAUGAUGGUUCUUUUUACUGACUUUUGGCAGGGGAAUUUUCGGAAUCUAAAGAUGGCGUGGUGAGUCUCGCGACUUUCCCUGAUAUCCACCCCGAUUCUAGAGAAGAGCUCUUUGGUCAACGUAUUCAUCCAAGCUGCAUGAGCCAACCACUAUCGGCAUAUCUUAGAAGAAGGUCUCAACUUCAACAUUGGAUCACAGAGUUUUCAAAGUCUUCCGAUGACAAAACUCUACAAAAUCAUCAACCACUCUUUCAUCAUCUGAUUCAUCCCUUCCAGAACAACCACCAGCUUGACUACCUUCAAGCACCGGAACACCUAAUCAGCGAUAAGGUGAGGUUGCAUAUAUGACAACUGACAAGGACAAUGUGGAGACUGACGAAAAAUAGUUCUUAAUGAAAAUAGACAGUAUAAUAAUAGUCAAAAGACUACCAAAAAAAUAAAUGAAAUCUAGGGAACACUGCCAUACCACUACGCGAAAGCCAUAGACCCUCACUCGAACCUUUAAAAUCGCAAUGGAAAAAAGAAGAUGGACAUACCAAGAUUUUCAAAUUAGAGAUGUCUAUGUGUUAUGACUUUCUCACAGGUUCUUUUACAACGGAGGCUGUGGUAGAGUCGAGAGACACAAGGGAUGGUGUUCAACAUGAGAAUGAAAUUACCUCUAACGUUCAGGACAUGUGAUAUGUUUUACCUAUCUAAUAGCCAUGGAAUAUAUAUGUACGAUCAACAUAAGAACACAUUACAUUUAUGAGGGGAAUCAACUGUGAAACUCAAAUACAUUGGAAAAUAUCACAAUGU